rnacentral:lncRNA from 1 species
CUGGUUUUCUGCAUUUGGGUUCACCAUUUUGAUCUGUUCCAGUUCUCACACUGGUUCUAACCCUGUGUUUCUGACAACAGGGCUGAUGGAUGGGUUGUGAUUCUCUGUUGCAGGGUUAAAGGUGGGUUCCUCCAUGGAGCUGGGAACUGUACACAAGGUGUCUCUGGGUCAAGGUCAGGAGGAGGUGUCUUACAGGGCAUUGAAGAGGGCCUCACAGCCCAGACAUUCUGCAGCAAGUUUGGUCCCCAGGGCUGGAACAGAUGUUACCCACCAGAUACCUGGUCAUCUCUGUCAGCGUUCUACAGUGACCUGGAGGCCAACACCAAAGUCAGAAGUCUUCUGGAUGGCAGGUUGGAGAAGCUCCCUGAGGAGUAUAGCAUGUCAGACGUGACUGGGAAGACUGCAGCUCACGUAGUCCCUACAUCCUCGCGUGUGUUUCCAGUUUGAGAGGAUGAAUGACCUCUUCGGAGAAAUAAGACCACACCUCAUAGAUCUGGACCUGGGCCUAAAUGUAAGAACUCAUUUCUGUGGAUAGAAAGGAGGUGUUCCUGUUAAGUAGGUGUUCCUGUAAAGGAGGUGUUCCUGUUAAGGGGGUGUUCCUGUUAAGGCAGUGUUCCUGUUAAGGGGGUGUUCCUGUUAAGGAGCUUUUCCUGUAAAGGAGAUGUUCCUUUUAAGGAGGUGUUCCUGUAAAGGAGGUGUUCCUGUUAAGGUGGUGUUCCUGUAAAAGGGGUGUUCCUGUUAAGGGGGUGUUCCUGUUAAGGAGGUGUUCCUGUAUAGGAGGUGUUCUUGUUGAGGCUGUGUUCCUGUUAAGGAGGUGUUCCUGUUAAGGAGGUGCCAUUUUUAAGGCGGUGUUCCUGUUAAGGAGGUGUUCCUGUUGAGGAGGUGCCAUUGUUAAGGCGGUGUUCCUGUUAAGGAAGUGUUCCUGUUAAGGAUGUGUUCCUGUUAAGGUAGUGUUCGUGUUAAGGGGGUGUUCCUGUUAAGGUGGUGUUCCUAAUCAAUGAGAACAGUGAUGAGAAUACUAACGUAUUGAACCAGGAAUAACAUUUGUUUGGGUUUCUAGAACAGUUUAGUUGUCCAUGUUGUUUCAUUUUAGGAUCAUGUAUGUGUCUGUAGAAUCACGCAUAUUGAACUAGAAACUAUUGUUAAUUUUUUUUAGCUUUAGUUACAUAAAACAGCAUAGAAUUUGUAACGUAGUAAUCCAGAUGUCAUACGCAAUAACAUUUUUGAUAUCCUGUUAUAGUAUUAGACCAAGGCUUUACAAAGUUGAGCCAUAUUAACGGACACCUCUUCACAUUUCUUCAAAACAAUUGUGAUAUAAAUACAUUUUGAUAAAUUGUAAAAAUAGUGUCCUCAAGAAUCAAGUAAAGAGAUACAGCUUUUUUUCAGAUGAGGGAAUCAAUUGUGAUUAGGACAAGCAGACAUUCGUGUUAUCCAUCUUUAAACACCAAUGAGGUCUCGACAAUGUUACCAUGUGCCGAAAUAAGGUUGCUUAUAUUUUUAAAGGC